UUUUUUGAGAUGCACUGCAGGGAUGUCUCUAGAAUAUGAGAACCAUUUUUCUAAGUGCUGUUGGUUUUGUGAUGACAGGGAGAAAAAUGAUGGAAAUGGUGAGGGAAAAAAAAUGCUGUCCAGCCAAACUUAGUUUUGUUAUGUUUUGACAGCAAAAACAGCAAGGUGAGUGCAAGGUUUCUUGAAGAUGUCAAGUUGGUUGUGGUUGGAAUGAAUGAGAUUGGUUUUGGGUUUUUUGGUUAGGUUGUUGCUCAUGACAGCAAGAGGGCAAGGUGUGUGCAGGUUUUCUGAAAUCAAAAUCAAAAUGAAAUGCUGUUGUUGGUUUU
rnacentral:lncRNA from 1 species